UCCUACGGGAGGCAGCAGUAGGGAAUUUUCGUCAAUGGGGGGAACCCUGAACGAGCAAUGCCGCGUGAGUGAGGAAGGUCUUCGGAUACGUAAAGCUCUGUUGUAAGAGAAAAACGGCACUCAUAGGGAAUGAUGAGUGAGUGAUGGUAUCUUACCAGAAAGUCACGGCUAACUACGUGC
rnacentral:rRNA from 1 species